rnacentral:rRNA from 1 species
GACGAACGCUGGCGGCGUGCCUAAUACAUGCAAGUCGAACGCUUCUUUCCUCCCGAGUGCUUGCACUCAAUUGGAAAGAGGAGUGGCGGACGGGUGAGUAACACGUGGGUAACCUACCCAUCAGAGGGGGAUAACACUUGGAAACAGGUGCUAAUACCGCAUAACAGUUUAUGCCGCAUGGCAUAAGAGUGAAAAGCGCUUUCGGGUGUCGUUGAUGGAUGGACCCGCGGUGCAUUAGCUAGUUGGUGAGGUAACGGCUCACCAAGGCCACGAUGCAUAGCCGACCUGAGAGGGUGAUCGGCCACACUGGGACUGAGACACGGCCCAGACUCCUACGGGAGGCAGCAGUAGGGAAUCUUCGGCAAUGGACGAAAGUCUGACCGAGCAACGCCGCGUGAGUGAAGAAGGUUUUCGGAUCGUAAAACUCCGUUGUUAGAGAAGAACAAGGACGUUAGUAACUGAACGUCCCCUGACGGUAUCUAACCAGAAAGCCACGGCUAACUACGUG